rnacentral:ncRNA from 4 species
GACGAAGGGGGCUAGCGUUGUUCGGAAUUACUGGGCGUAAAGCGAGUGUAGGUGGUUGUCAUAGUCAGGUGUGAAAGCCUUGAGCUCAACUCAAGAAAUGCACUUGAUACUGGGCGACUAGAGGACCGGAGAGGAUAGUGGAAUUCCCAGUGUAGUGGUGAAAUACGUAGAGAUUGGGAAGAACACCAGUGGCGAAGGCGGCUAUCUGGACGGUUUCUGACACUAAGACUCGAAAGCGUGGGGAGCAAACAGG